UUUAAAAGUAGAUUCGCGGGUUUUACAAAAAAUAUCAUUGUCUUUCAGUGAAGAACAACACGAGACAAUAAUGUUACACUGCAUGCAACUAUGUAUUGCAAGGUGUUUCACUUUUUCCAAGUGAUAAGAGAAAUUUCAAAAAAAAAAUCUAAUGUCUUUAAAAAUAGAUGUAAUGGCCCAUUUUUGCCUGGCAACCAAGAAUCGAAUAAUAAAAAACCAAAUAAAAGCCCAAAAUUAAACAGUCCAUUAUAACAAAAUUAACCCAAAAUUUCAACCCAAUAGUAAAAACCCUAAGCCCAAGGCUUAUAGCCUAAACAAUUUCAGCAGAAAAAAAGAAGCCUUGGAACCCUAGCCGCACGCCUUGCUGCAGUAGCCUCGCACGCCUCUGCCGCCGCCUGCAUCCACGCGUCUAACAUCUGCAAAACGAAGAACAACACGCAACAAUGAAUAAUCCAAAUAGCAAGACGACAAAAAAAUAGAGAUUAACAGUUGUAAUCAGCUAUAAAAGGCCAAAGAUCAUCACUGUAAUUCUUCUUCCCCUUUAACGAACAUUUUCAGAAAAUAAAAAAAAAGGCAUUUAAGGUGACUUACAUUUUUCUGUUUCAGAUCUGUUUUUAUUUUUUUUAUUUUUUUUCUCUAUUCUGAAUAUAUAAACAAAGGUAAAAAAGAAAGGGAAACGGACUCACCGGAGUGGAUACGUGCCCUCGUCGUCGGAGGGUUUCUCCGUUGGUGACGAAACCCGUCGUUGAAAGGGCUGAUAGUUUUUUUUUUGUUUUUUUUUGGGUGAUUUAAGGCCAGAUUCGGGUUAAAGGGUCAAAAAUAGGAUUAAAAAAAACAUUUUUAACUUCGCCGGCCACCGUACACGGCGGCGCCGGAAACCGACACGGUGGCCCUCGGUCGGGACCUUAGGCCGGAUAGGGGUUCUUUCUUUUUGUUUUGAGAGAAAAGGGGAGCUUUGAAUUUUUUGUUUUUA
rnacentral:lncRNA from 1 species